rfam:Candidate division WOR-3 bacterium RBG_13_43_14 RBG_13_scaffold_44466, whole genome shotgun sequence.
GGCGGCGUAGCUCAGUCUGGCAGAGCAGGAGAAUCAUAAUCUCUGUGUCAGGGGUUCGAAUCCCUUCGCCGCUA